CAGAAGUGGUAAACGUCUGAGACCUGCAUCACUUCGGGCUUUCCUCUCACAUUGAGCUGACAAGCAGUGAUAUUACUGGAAUACUGUUGAAAGCGGCAUUAUCCCCAACUCACUCACUACAAGGUGGACAUAUUAAGUUUAUUGAGAGGUGAUCGUCACGUUAUGGCUGAAAUAGGUGAGUUUAAAGGGGCACUGAUCUAAAGCAAUUCCCCGGGACUGGUUGUUGCCUUUGUUAUUGUUUUUUCCCAGUGAGUACCCGGAUGAAGAGCAGAAAUCUAGACUAGUUCACGACCUCUGCUGCGCCAUUCGAACUACCCGACGCUUCCUGGAGAAGUUUGGUGAAGACAUAGACACUGUUGUGUUCGUGUGUUCAGAUGAGACAGUGGAUGUGUACAAGGGAUUAUUACCCUUGUAUUUCCCCCGCAAUAUUCGU